rnacentral:rRNA from 1 species
AUGAACGCUGGCGGCGUGCCUAACACAUGCCAGUCGAACGAAGCACCUUACCUGAUUCUUCGGAUGAAAGUUUGGUGACUGAGUGGCGGACGGGUGAGUAACGCGUGGGUAACCUGCCCUGUACAGGGGAUAACAGCUGGAAACGGCUGCUAAUACCGCAUAAGCGCACGAGGAGACAUCUCCUUGUGUGAAACACUCCGGUGGUACAGGAUGGGCCCGCGUCUGAUUAGCUGGUUGGCAGGGUAACGGCCUACCAAGGCAACGAUGAGUAGCCGGUCUGAGAGAAUGGGCGGAGACAGUGGAGCGAGGAAGCGGUCGGGACUCCUACGGGAGGCGGGAGUGGGGAAUAGUGCACAAUGGGGGGAGCGAUGAUGCAGCAACGACGGGAGAGUGAAGAAGUAUUUCGGGAAGUAAAGCUCUAGUAGCAGGGAAGGUAAUGACGGUACCUGACUAGAAAGCUCCGGCUAAAUACGUG